rnacentral:lncRNA from 1 species
UGAAAACGUUGGGGGCUUGUGGCUCAUGAACUCCCUAUGCCUAUCCCUUAGCGGCGGCUGCUGCUGGUUGUUGUUGUUGUUGUUGUUGUUCAGCUAAGCUUGUAAGGCUGCCACGGUGUUGGUCAGUCCGGCGAGAAGCUGAGUCUGGGCUGCUAGAAAUUGCUCCAUCCCUGCAGGUGCUUGUUGAUUCUGCUGCGGAGUGGAGUUAGGAUUUCUGCUGUUGUCCCUGUGACGAGGCACUGCGGGACGGUCAACUCCU